CAGUCGAACGCGAAAGGCCCCUUCGGGGGCCGAGUAGAGUGGCGCACGGGUGAGUAACACGUAGGUAAUCUACCUCUGGGUGGGGAAUAACAGCCGGAAACGGCUGCUAAUACCGCAUAAUGCAGCGGCACCACAUGGUGACAGUUGUUAAAGCGGGGGAUCGUAAGACCUCGCGCCUAGAGAUGAGCCUGCGGCGGAUUAGCUAGUUGGCAGGGUAACGGCCUACCAAGGCGACGAUCCGUAGCCGGCCUGAGAGGGCGGACGGCCACACUGGCACUGACAUACGGGCCAGACUCCUACGGGAGGCAGCAGUCGGGAAUUUUGGGCAAUGGGCGAAAGCCUGACCCAGCAACGCCGCGUGAAGGAUGAAGCUUCUCGGAGUGUAAACUUCAUAARAAUGGGACGAAUANNGAGGGG
rnacentral:rRNA from 1 species